rnacentral:rRNA from 1 species
UACGUAGGGUGCAAGCGUUGUCCGGAAUUAUUGGGCGUAAAGGGCUCGUAGGCGGUCCAUCGCGUCGGGAGUGAAAAGCUGGGGCUUAACCCCAGUCCUGCUUUCGAUACGGGUGGACUAGAGGUAGGCAGGGGAGAACGGAAUUCCUGGUGUAGCGGUGAAAUGCGCAGAUAUCAGGAGGAACACCGAUGGCGAAGGCGGCAUCCUGGACCGGUAUGACGCUGAGGCGCGAAAGCUAGGGGAGCAAACGGG